ACGAUAUAACGUAAUACGUUAUGUGGUAUGACGUUAUAACGUAUUACGUUAUAUGGUAUGACGGUAUAACGUACUACGUUAUAUCGG
rnacentral:pre_miRNA from 13 species